rnacentral:piRNA from 1 species
UAGAUCAUUAUUGAGGUACAUCCUUAC